rnacentral:rRNA from 1 species
GACGAACGCUGGCGGCGUGCCUAAUACAUGCAAGUUGAGCGAUGAAGCUUGGUGCUUGCACCAAUUUGAAGAGCAGCGAACGGGUGAGUAACGCGUGGGGAAUCUGCCUUUGAGCGGGGGACAACAUUUGGAAACGAAUGCUAAUACCGCAUAACAACUUUAAACAUAAGUUUUAAGUUUGAAAGAUGCAAUUGCAUCACUCAAAGAUGAUCCCGCGUUGUAUUAGCUAGUUGGUGAGGUAAAGGCUCACCAAGGCGAUGAUACAUAGCCGACCUGAGAGGGUGAUCGGCCAAAUUGGGACUGAGACACGGCCCAAACUCCUACGGGAGGCAGCAGUAGGGAAUCUUCGGCAAUGGACGAAAGGCUGACCGAGCAACGCCGCGUGAGUGAAGAAGGUUUUCGGAUCGUAAAACUCUGUUGGUAGAGAAGAACGUUGGUGAGAGUGGAAAGCUCAUCAAGUGACGGUAACUACACAGAAAGGGACGGCUAACUACGUG